ensembl:lincRNA
GGGAGAGUGAAAUGAAAAUGCUUGAUUAGAGGAUGAUGUGGAAGAUUUUGUUUUUGGAAUAAGACAUUCAGAAAGAACCUCACCCAAAAGAAUGUGGCAGUCAGGAAGGGGCUGCCCUUGGGGGCUGCGGGUCCAUGUGGCCCAGUCACGGGGAGCCAAAGCGAGGGACUCUUGGUGGAUGUGUCCAUUUUGCCAAGCACUGCACAUCUGGCGGACAGACACUUUUGCCACAUUUGGGAGAUCAGAUUUCAAGUAAAAGAAAUGAAAACGAGAAACAGUGUAAUUGCUGAAUUAUUAGACCAUAGUUAUGCUGCUUUUUAAUUGAAAGGAGGAUCUCAUUAAAUGCACCUUCAUAUCACCUCCUGUACUGCGUGUGAGAAACUUGACGAGGCUGCUGCACGGAGUGGUGCUUCUGGUUUGGUCGGGUGCUUGCUGCCGGAACCUCGACCUGGGCUUUCUCAGCCUUUGGCCUGCCUGUCCGGGACAGGCAGCUCUCUCUGUGCGUGGGGGAUGCACGUGCCCUGAUGCAGGCGAUGUGCAGAGCACACAGCCUGAGUGUGUGUUUCCAGACUGCGUCUGUGCUCAGGAGCAGGGCUGUGGGGCACCUGUGUGUGCUUGGCAGGUACGGAGGCAGCACGAGAUUAGUGUUGGGACUCCAGAGGAGUGAAGAAUUUGUUCUGCGUGGAGGAGCCCUUGAGCUGGAGGAGCUUGCAGAAUCAGAGCGGACUGUGGAGAACGCACUGGAGAGUCCCAGGCUUGGCCACUGAGGAUCCUCAGGAGGUAUCACCCGGAGGGAGAGUGGUGUGGGCAAGGCUGGGAGCAGGGCAGGGAAGGUCCUGGGCUCUGGGAGCGGUUCCUAAGGGACUGGUGUCCCGGCAGCAGCAGCAGCAGCAGGAGGCUGUGCAGGCUGUGAGAGGGAGGGGCCGCCUGUUGGUCCUAGCUCGUGGUGCUGCCUCAUGGUGCUGCCUGUGUGACCUGUGUGCCACAGGCAUCCACCCCUUGGUGCUCGUCCGGGAGUCCACCGUGCUGCUCUGGGACACGGAGUCCAGGAGGGAGAAUGCUUAGGGCCGCAGAGCACUGGCGAGCUGCUGGCGGAACAGCGAGGACCCACGAGAGCCUUUGGCUGCUGUGGCUCUCAGGCCUCCCUCCCCGUGGCCGCUCCUUCCCAAGUACGCCUGGGAGCCCAGACCGACACCAGAAAGCCUCCUAAUUCGACUUCCUCCAGAUUGCUCCUUUUCUUUUCCUUAAUCAUGUAUACAAUAAGAAAACUCCUUCCAGAGUAUUUAAUACAGGUUUGAAUCCCUGUGGUUGCGUUUCUUCUCUCCAGAUGUUGAAUUCUGCGUGUUUGUCAUUCUUUUUCCUCUGGUCUUGGUGAUGAAUGAAGCCUGUCAGAACUGGGUGAUUGAUUGGAAUCCUUAACAGCUCUAGUGGAAGGAAAGAGGAGUGUUAUAGGAGUAUGGAAUAUCAGAAUUGCACAGUACUUCUAAAAUGUAAAAGGACUUAAAAGUUUAAAAAUCUUUAAAUUUUAGAAAAAAUUUAAGUAUUUUUAAUUUUAGGUUUUAAUAUCCCUUCAUUUACUAGUUAAGGAAAUUGAGGCUCAGAGUUGAGUGAUUGCUGGGAAUAAAUGCAGUGAGUGUUAGCAAGCGUAGAAAUGUGAAAUUGGUGCUGUGGGAGAUCUCGUACUGGCUGACAGUUGGCACGUGGGGCAGGAGGACUUUGUCACCACGAGAGAAUGCCGAAAUAUCAACCGAUCAACUGUAAAGGAGAAAAUGUUGAGCAGUUUUAAGUGUUGCAACAACCACGUCUUUCUGUUUAGCACAGUGAAGUGACUUGCGUGGAGUCCAGGGUCAGGACGGGAGGGAGGGCUCAGUGUUAGGGACAUGGACUGUGACUUGUGGUAAGUUGUCACCAAAUAGUGAUCGUGACUCAGAUUGUUCCUUGCAGAAGAGAAAAUCGUGCUCUUCCCUUCAUGAGUUGUGGGUGUACCAGAUCUGCCUUGUGUGCGCCAGGUGAAACCAGGGUAGCCCCUCCUGCCCCGGAAGACCUUGGCUGCUGCCCCCGAGGGCAGUCGGCUCACGGCCUCGGCCCUGGUGCUUCCCAGUUCUCUUCCUUUACUCUGAAUUUUGACUUUGCUUUCCUUUUGUUCCAGAGAGUUUUUUAAAGGAAAUUUUAGGUAACAUUCUCAAUUCUUUUCUGUCUUCCUUGUCCUUUGUAUUGUGUGGGAUAAGUCAGAGUGAGGCGUCUUUGUAGUUAGUGCCCUCGGGGUGUUUGAGAAUGCCCGUCUUCUCUGGACACAGAACUGUGUAUCUUCACAAAGGCAGGCCGGCCCUUGUCUCCUCUCCCCAGCCUUGGACCCUGCCAGACUCCGGAAGAGUUAAAGCUGCUCCACCCUGACCGGAUUCUGUCGUCUUCUCUGUGUGUCUGAGGGUUUAACUU